rnacentral:rRNA from 1 species
AUACGUAGGUGACAAGCGUUAUCCGGAUUUACUGGGCGUAAAGGGCGUGUAGGCGGUCUUGCAAGUCAGGAGUGAAAUCUAGGGGCUCAACCCCUAGACUGCUUUUGAAACUGUAUCCCUUGAGUAUCGGAGAGGCAGGGGGAAUUUCUAGUGUAGCGGUGAAAUGCGUAGAUAUUAGGAGGAACACCAGUGGCGAAGGCGGCCUGCUGGACGACAACUGACGCUGAGGCGCGAAAGCGUGGGGAGCAAACAGGAUUAGAUACCCUGGUAGUCCACGCUGUAAACGAUGAAUACUAGGUGUGGGGGGACUGACCCCCUCCGUGCCGCAGUUAACACAAUAAGUAUUCCACCUGGGGAGUACGAUCGCAAGAUUGAAACUCAAAGGAAUUGACGGGG